CCUACGGGAGGCAGCAGUAGGGAAUCUUCCACAAUGGGCGAAAGCCUGAUGGAGCAACGCCGCGUGGGUGAAGAAGGUCUUCGGAUCGUAAAACUCUGUUGUUAGAGAAGAAAGUUCGUGAGAGUAACUGUUCACGUUUCGACGGUAUCUAACCAGAAAGCCACGGCUAACUACGUGCCAGCAGCCACGGUAAUACGUAGGUGGCAAGCGUUAUCCGGAUUUAUUGGGCGUAAAGGGAACGCAGGCGGUCUUUUAAGUCUGAUGUGAAAGCCUUCGGCUUAACCGGAGUAGUGCAUUGGAAACUGGGAGACUUGAGGGCAGAAGAGGAGAGUGGAACUCGAUGUGUAGCGGUGAAAUGCGUAGAUAUAGGGAAGAACACCAGUGGCGAAAGCGGCUCUCUGGUCUGUAACUGACGUUGAGGCUCGAAAGCGUGGGGAGCAAACAGGAUUAGAUACCCCGGUAGUC
rnacentral:rRNA from 1 species